AUGAAAGAUCUCUAUAUUCAGGUCAUAAAAUUUGAUUCAGAAUAUGAAAACAAUAACAAGAUUAUGCAACUAAAAUUAGGAUUCCAUAACUGGAAAGAGAAGUGUUGGGGAGUUGCCUCCAUUUCUAGUCAAUGUGGGACAACAAAUCUAGACGUCACAUAUCCACCCAAAACCUUAACGCAACGGGAGUAUGUGUCAUUUCUCUUAUAUUUCCAAGGUUUCCUCUAUUUCUAG